GAUACAUGUUUUUUUAUUUUAAAGAAAAACUGAGGCCAGGUGGCAAUGGCUCACAUCUAUACUCCUGGGGUACUCAGAAAGCUAUCUGAGGAUCACGGUUGAAAGCCAGCCCAAACUUCCCAAAUUCAUAUCUCCAAUUACCCACCAGAAAACCAGGAGUGGCGCUAUGGCUCAAGUGGUCGAAUGCUAGUCUGGAGCUGAAAACCUCAUGGACAGCGCCCAGGCCCGGAGUUCAAGCCCUAUGACAGACAAAAA